rnacentral:rRNA from 1 species
UACGUAGGUGGCAAGCGUUUGUCCGGAUUUACUGGGCGUAAAGAGCGCGCAGGCGGUCGUUCAAGUCGCGUGUGAAAGCCCCCGGCUCAACUGGGGAGGGUCACGCGAUACUGAUCGACUCGAAGGCAGGAGAGGGUAGUGGAAUUCCCGGUGUAGUGGUGAAAUGCGUAGAUAUCGGGAGGAACACCAGUGGCGAAGGCGAGUCUCUGGACAUUUCCUGACGCUGAGGCACGAAAGCCAGGGGAGCAAACAGG